rnacentral:rRNA from 1 species
UACAGAGGGUGCAAGCGUUAAUCGGAAUUACUGGGCGUAAAGCGUGCGUAGACGGUUACAUAAGUCGGGUGUGAAAGCCCGGGCUCAACCUGGGAAUUGCAUUCGAGACUGCGUAGCUAGGGUGCGGAAGAGGGAAGCGGAAUUUCCGGUGUAGCGGUGAAAUGCGUAGAUAUCGGAAGGAACACCAGUGGCGAAAGCGGCUUCCUGGUCCAGCACCGACGUCAGGCACGAAAGCGUGGGGAGCAAACAGG